rnacentral:tRNA from 1 species
GGCGCGAUAGCAAAGCGGUUAUGCACCGGAUUGCAAAUCCGUCCAGCCGGGUUCGACUCCCGGUCGCGCCUCCA